AGAGGUGAUAUUCAGAGGCUUUGCGUCUUUGCUCCGGAGAAGUACAGAGAUGGUGAGAGGUGAAGAACAAUAGGGAGAGAAGACCCAUUUCAAUUCGAUCCGUUUCGACUUCCGCUAAGCUACGCUCUCUUUGGUUAUGUUUUCAGAUGGUGAUGGGAGUCUGAAUGAAAGUGAUCAGAAAAGGCUAUGUCCUCCAGUCCUAUUUAGAGUGAGAAGCCACUAGCAAUCUACUCCAGAAGCAAGGUAACUCUCUUUGAUACCUGCUCAUACCUAUUUGAUGGCGUAUCCUCCAGAAGCAACGUAAUUCUCUUUCCCUAUUGGUGACCACUUUUUCCUUAUGUUGUCAGAAAUGUUCAAGAUUUGAAUGUUCAAGCUUUGUGAACCUUUUUUAGGUUAUGAUGGCUGCUUUGGUAUAGACUAGGGUUUGAAGAUUUCCCAGGGUUAUUUCUUUUUUAAGUUAAUGAUGCUUCUUUAAUGUGAUUGCAGCUUAUCAAUACAAGCAUAAGCUAAAACUUUGCAGAACCCUUUAAAUGGCUUUCGUGUUGUUUUGGAAGUUUAUGGAAGUUUUAAUUGGUUCUUUCAAUUGGUUAUGCUUAAUUGACCCAACUAUUUGUCAUUCUUCAUUUUGUAGUCAGUUUCAUUUAGUGGGCCUAUUGCAAUGGAAGUAUUUAACUUGCAUAUAUGCUUCUGCACAUGUUAUGUUAUACUUCUUAAUUAGAUCCUUUUUCA